rnacentral:rRNA from 1 species
UACGGAGGGGGCUAGCGUUGUUCGGAAUUACUGGGCGUAAAGCGCGCGUAGGCGGACCUGCAAGUCGGGGGUGAAAGCCCGAGGCUCAACCUCGGAACUGCCUUCGAUACUGCGGGUCUCGAGUCCGGGAGAGGUGAGUGGAAUUCCUAGUGUAGAGGUGAAAUUCGUAGAUAUCAGGAGGAAUACCGGUGGCGAAGGCGGGUCUCUGGGCCGAUAUUGACGCUGAGGAGCGAAAGCGUGGGGAGCGAACAGG